GCCUGAUCUGUCAAGGCAUUUUCAAGCUUGUCUUUUUCUUUUGCCUCACGUAAGGCUAAUAGUUCCGCUUCUUUUCUUAGUGCAGCCUCUCUUUCAGCACAGUCCUUCACAUAGUCAGCUUCUCUUUUUGCAGCUUUGUACUCCUCAUUCUCUUUUCGUACCAAAUCUUUUGCUUCUUCCUCCUUUAAACUAAUUUCCCGGAGUUUAAUUUCUUCCUCCAACCGGCG
rnacentral:lncRNA from 1 species